CGGAGAAUGUUAUCACGGGAGACACACGGCGGGUGCUAACGUCCGUCGUGAAGAGGGAAACAACCCAGACCGCCAGCUAAGGUCCCAAAGUCAUGGUUAAGUGGGAAACGAUGUGGGAAGGCCCAGACAGCCAGGAUGUUGGCUUAGAAGCAGCCAUCAUUUAAAGAAAGCGUAAUAGCUCACUGGUCGAGUCGGCCUGCGCGGAAGAUGUAACGGGGCUAAACCAUGCACCGAAGCUGCGGCAGCGACACUAUGUGUUGUUGGGUAGGGGAGCGUUCUGUAAGCCUGUGAAGGUGUGUCGUGAGGCAUGCUGGAGGUAUCAGAAGUGCGAAUGCUGACAUAAGUAACGAUAAAGCGGGUGAAAAGCCCGCUCGCCGGAAGACCAAGGGUUCCUGUCCAACGUUAAUCGGGGCAGGGUGAGUCGACCCCUAAGGCGAGGCCGAAAGGCGUAGUCGAUGGGAAACGGGUUAAUAUUCCCGUACUUGGUGUUACUGCGAAGGGGGGACGGAGAAGGCUAUGUUGGCCGGGCGACGGUUGUCCCGGUUUAAGCGUGUAGG
rnacentral:rRNA from 1 species